CUGCUCACUUACGCAGCACAUAUACUAAAAUUGGAACAGUACAGAGAAGAUUAGCAUGGCCUCUGCACAAGGGUGACAUGCAACUUGUGAAAUGUUUCAUAUUUCU
rfam:Canis lupus familiaris chromosome 21, whole genome shotgun sequence.